rnacentral:rRNA from 1 species
CUUACACCGAGAAAAUGUUUGUUUAACCCAAACCAUUUUGAGCCAAAAACCUAGCCCUCUCUCUUACAUAUGCCCCCCCCCCACCCGAACAACCUUAAACAAAACAUUUUCACCUCUAAGUAAAGGCGAUUAAAAAGUGAUUUAGGAGCUUUAAAAACAGUACCGCAAGGGAAAGAUGAAAUAAUAAUGAAAAUCCUCAAGCACAACAAAGCAGAGAUUUACCCUCGUACCUUUUGCAUCAUGGUCUAGCUAGUUCAACCAAGCAAAAAGAACUUUAAGUUUGACACCCCGAAACUAGACGAGCUACUUCGAAACAGCCUACAGGGCCAACCCGUCUCUGUUGCAAAAGAGUGGGAAGAUUUCCAAGUAGAGGUGACAGACCUACCGAGUCUAGAGAUAGCUGGUUAUUCAGGAAAAGGAUUUUAGUCCUACCUUAAAAUCCCUAAUAACAACUAAUAUUUCAAUGAUUUUAAGAGCCAUUCAAAUAAGGUACAGCCUAUUUGACACAGGAUACAACCUCCGGCAAAGGGUAAUGAAUAUAAUCCCAUGACCAAGUGGGCCUAAAAGCAGCCAUCUUUUAAAAAGCGUUAAAGCUUUGUCAUCCACAAAAACAAUCCCAAAACCACCUCAAAACCCCCCAUUACUACUGAAUGACCCCAUAACCAUAUGGGGGACCUCAUGCUAGAACUAGUAACAAGAAUUAGACCUUCUCUAAAAUGCACGUGUACGCCAAAAUGAACCACUCACCGGCAAUUACCGCUAAUGAAUACAUAGUAAUAACCCAGCAAGAAAACCUUACUUAAAAAAGCGUUAACCUAACACAAGAGCAUUUCCAGAAAGAUUAAAAGAGCGGGAAGGAACUCGGCAAAUAUUAGCCUCGCCUGUUUACCAAAAACAUCGCCUCCUGACCUAUCAUAGGAGGUCCAGCCUGCCCAGUGACAUAGUUAAACGGCCGCGGUACCCUAACCGUGCGAAGGUAGCGCAAUCACUUGUUCUUUAAAUGAGGACUAGUAUGAAUGGCAUCACGAAGGCUACACUGUCUCCCCCCUCCAAUCAGUGAAACUGAUCUCCCCGUGAAGAAGCGGGGAUAAAACCAUAAGACGAGAAGACCCCAUGGAGCUUAAAACUCAGUUUCACCUGCACACCAAUAUAUCACACCAACCCUGCAGACCUGACUACUAGUUUUCGGUUGGGGUGACCGCGGAGCAAAACAAAACCUCCACGACGAAAGGACAUCUCCCUAAUCCAAGAGCAACAACUCUAAGAAUCAAAAAAUUGACGUUGCUUGAUCCAAAUUUAUUUGAUCAACGAACCAAGUUACCCUGGGGAUAACAGCGCAAUCCAUUUCAAGAGCUCCUAUCGACAAAUGGGUUUACGACCUCGAUGUUGGAUCAGGGUAUCCCAGUGGUGCAGCCGCUACUAAAGGUUCGUUUGUUCAACGAUUAAAACCCUACGUGAUCUGAGUUCAGACCGGAGUAAUCCAGGUCGGUUUCUAUCUAUGAAGUGUUUCUCCCAGUACGAAAGGACCGGAGCAACAUGGCCCCUGUAAAAACAAGCCAUAGCUGCAAACUAAUGUCAACAACUAAAUUAGCAUACAGCCUACCCCCCACCCCAAGAUAAGAAAU